ensembl:lncRNA
AUGUUUGUUGUUUUGUUUUUCUUGAUUGCCAGGUGGAACAAGGUCCUGUCUCUUUCUCUCUCUGUCUCUUUCUUUCUCUCUGUCUCUUUCUCUCUGUCUCUUUCUCUCUGUCUCUUUCUUUCUGUCUCUCUGUCUUUCGCUGUCUUUCUCUGUCUCUUUCUCUGUCUCUCUUUCUCUUUCCCUCUGUCUCUCUCUGUCUCUCGCUGUCUCUCUCUGUCUCUUUCUCUGUCUCUCUUUCUCUUUCCCCCUGUCUCUCUCUGUCUCUUUCUCUGUCUCUCUUUCUCUUUCCCCCUGUCUCUCUCUGUCUCUUUCUCUGCCUCUCGCUGUCUUUCUCGCUGUCUCUUUCUCUGUCUCUCUUUCUCUUUCCCCCUGUCUCUCUCUGUCUCUUUCUCUGUCUCUCUUUCUCUUUCCCUCUGUCUCUUUCUCUGUCCUCCCCUUCCCUUUCAACUCAUAUUCACCCUUUCCUUCGUUGUCUUUGUUGCCCCCAAGUCAAGCCAAGUCAGCAGGCUUUUAUUCAGCGCUAACCAUUUGCCAGGGACUGUUCAAACUCCGAGUAUAUGAAGGAAGGCAAAAAGACAACUUCCACUCUUAGGGAGCUAGUGGGGAAGACAGCAUGGCAAUGGCAUUGUGUGUGUGUGUAAUCCCUCGAGACAUUAUCUCCCCCAUCCCCAUAUUUGAAAUUGCUGCCAGCAUGGUAUUUACUCCAAAAAUCUGAUCACCAAGACUUUGCCUCCCAGGUUGGCCUUUAGUGUGCUUUGUGACCUUGGACAAGUCAUUUUCCUCUCCGGGCCUCAAUCUCUUCAUCUGUAAAAUGAAGGGUUGCAUGGGAUCAUCCAAUCCUGCAAGAAGAUAUCCUAGGGGUAGCUAAAUGGCACAGGGGAUAGAGCACCAGGUCUGGAGUCAGGAGGACUUGGGUUCAAAUCAGGCCUCAAACGCUUUUUAGCUUUGUGACUCCCGGCAAGUCAUUAACUCUGCCUGUCUAGCCUUUGUCCUUCUCUCUUAGUGUUACUAAGAAAGAAAAGUAAGGGUUAAAAAAAGAUGGAGAUUAUCUCCCCUCCUCUUUCUGAUGGUGAAAUGCCCAACUUGGGAAAUAGUCCUGCCUACAAGUAACACAGGUAAUUGGAAUUUGAACCCAAGCUCUUGGAAUCCAAAUCCAAUGUCCUUUCCACUCUUAUUAAUGAUGGGUUUUUAGAGAUGGAGGAACUCUUUGAGAGCAUGGAGCCUCAGCUCUUCGUUUUUUAUAGGCCCAGAGAGGGGAAUGACUUGUCCACAGUCACACAGCUAGUUAUGGACAGAAGCAGAAUGAAAACCUGGGUCUUCAAGCUCCGCUCCCAGUGUUUCUUGCCAGUCUGUUUUAUCCUGUUCCCACUCUCCUUCUUCCCUCUCCUCCCUCCUCCCUCCUGUCGCUCUCCCCCUCUUCCCCUACUCCAGCAGUGUUUAUUCAGCUGGUUGCUGUUUAAGGAUGCCUGGCUUUCUGUUCUUAGGUUUCUGUCCUUGGCUCAGUUCUCCUCGCAGCCUUGGUGUUCGGGUUGUUUUUUUAACCUUGGGCAUCUGCACGGUUGCUUUGUACAUUUUCCAUGACUUCUUCCAAGGCUGGAAGGUUGGUCCCAACAAGAAGUGCUAUUUAUUGAGCAUCUCCCAAGUGCUAGAUAGAAAGCCCUGGGUGUCCCUGUAGUCACGAUUCAGAUGGGGGCUGGGGAGGUCCAAGGGAUAUUGUCUAGGAUAAGGAGGGAAUUGGUCAGGAGGUAGGUAAGCAGGUGCUUCCACAUCUGGUUCGGUUCUGCAAACACCCUCCCCUCCCCUUGACCCUUCGCCCUUCCACAUCUCACAGCUGGUAUGCUAGUAAGGGUUGGAAAAACUGGCCCUCCUCCCCAACAUCUGUGUAGUGGGGCAUCUGAAUUCCAAUCCGGCCUCUGAUACGAUACUUGCCCGCCGUGCCACCCUGGGCAAGUCACGUCACCCCGUCUGCUUAGCCCUUGCUGCUCUUCGGCCGUAGUACUGUUACUAAGGCAGAAAGCAAAGGGCUUUUUUAUAGGAAAAAAUGCAGGCACAGCUCCACUUUGAUGGCCAGUCUGCACCGCUGACAUUUUCUCCAUCACUUUCUUAUGUCUGGAUAAUUGUCGGUGGGUCAUCCUGACCCAGGCCUCUCCUCAGUCCAAUCUGCCCAUUUCCCUAAAAUACAAGUCUGAUCAUGCCACCCUCUCUACUCAGUUGACUCCUGUGACUCCCUACGCCCCCGGGAGCAAAUACAAACUACCCUCCAGAACCUCGCUCCCACGUCCACUUCUGGUCUUCUUACGUAGCUCCCGCCUCCACUUCCGGUCUUCUUACACUGCUCCCGCCUCCACUUCCGGUCUUCUUACACCUUCCUCCCUGAGCUGGUCUCUACUCCAGGGCACUGCCGGAACCCUGGCUCCUUUACAAACAAGACACUCCAUUUCUCAGCUGUGGGCAUUUUCUCUGGCUCUCCCUCCUUCACGCCGAUUCCUGACUGGCUUGGCUUUCUGGAAGUCUCACCUACGGGAAGCUCUCCCUCUUUCCGUUAUCUUACUUCUUAUGUAUUUGCUUCUCGGCUCCCCGAUUAGAUUGGAAGCCCCUUUGGGGCAAGGACUAUCUUUUGCCUCUUUUCGUAUCACAGAUGCUGAACACAGUGCUGGCACAUAGUAGGUACUUAACACGGGCUUAUUGAGCUGAAUUAGUCCUCAAGAUCCUUCUUUAGGGAGCACAGAAGUCAAGAUAGUAACUAGAUAACUAGAGCUCCAAACCCUUUGGGAUGGGACUUUUUCCUCACUGGAGGAGUUGAAUGUCUAAAUGAUUGGCAAAAUAAAAGAUCGCUCCCCGAUUUGUGACA